UUUUUAAAAUCAUACGGAUUUUGUGUCAUGAGGCACUCAGGACUCAGCUGAUCUCGGCGUUCAGUUGUGCGUGAUUUUGGAUUUGCACCUCGCCCUUGGGCAAGUGCAGAAUCCUGGGGUUAUACAAAGCACAUCACAGUUAACCCCUUUGUCCCAGUCCGCAGAAUGAGAGCUCGGAGCCCGGCCAUGGGAGGCUCGGUUAUAUAGGCAGGAAAAUCAAGGAACCCAGGUAUGAGCAGGGGCGUUUGUGGCGCGGAGAGAGCUCCUGUCCUUGCUGUCCACCUAUUUCUCAGGCUUGGCCCCUGGCGUGUAGAAAACCGCAUCUCCGGAAAACCCAGAAAGUUACGUCGCCCAGGUACUCUCUUGUCAUUCUCCGGGAUGUAAAAGACUCAGGGUCUCUUCACGGAUCACUGAAACCGCCUUCUCCGAGGCCUCCAGGGUGACUAAAAGAGAGGGUGGGUGUUCAGUGUUCUCCCGCCGGUGUGUUCCUCUUCAUGUCCAAACGCUUGUGUCUGUGCCCGCUGGGGUCUCGGGGGCUUUUAUAGGCACAGGAUGGGGGCGUGGCGGGCCAGGGUGGUCUUGGGAAAUGCAACAUUUGGGCGCGGAGGAAGAAGUGCCCCUCCUCACCUAGGUUCAUGGGCACAGGCCCGGGGGUGAAGUCUUGCUCCCCUCCCGUAACAGUACCACGGUUAGUGCUCUGCUUUAUGGCCGCAGCAAUCUCAGACACUUCCGGAGAGUGUUUUUUUUCUUGUUCCUUUUCGGGCGCCAGCUUUCAAACCGGACCAAAGGUGUGUGUUUUUCCCCGAUUGUCUCCCAGCCUUCUUUCCUUUUCGCCUCUACUCAAGGCUGUGUCGACAAUGAAGCUCUCAGGAGGAGGAGGCCUCCAGCUGCCUCAAGGAAGGGCAUUUCUCGCAGUGCAAAGUGCGGAAGAGGGGAGCCAUACCGACUGAAGUAUUAACCAGAGUCGGUUUGCACAGAGGCGGCAAUGGAUAGAAUUUCAGAAGUGAGGCGGAAAGACAGGCCAGCCCUGCGAAAGAUGGAUUGGAGAGAGGUGAGAAUCUAGUUCAAAAGCCGGGAGAAGGAACAGGACAUUAUUAGCACAAUAGUCUAGGCAGNNNNNNNNNNUAUGCACAAGUACGUGCAUAUGCACAUUUAUGUUUGGGUACAUGUAUGCAUCGUGCUUUUUUGCGCAAACAUGUAUGUAUAUAUACAUGUAUUAUGUGUGCAUGUGCACAUGCAAGUGCACGUGUGUAUGCACAUGCAUGUAUACCCACAAAUCCAUGUACACAUAUACGUCAUGCAUGCAUGUGUUUGCACACGAAUUUUUGUGCGUGCACAUGCAUGUGUGCACACAUGUGUGUGUGUAGACAUGUAUGUGUGGAUGUGCACACGUAAAUAUGGACACUUGUAUUCAGGCAUACACAUGCUUUCACGUGUGUGCACAGAUGCAUUUGUAGGCUGGUAUACAUGGUGUAUACGUGUAUGU
rnacentral:lncRNA from 1 species